rnacentral:rRNA from 1 species
AGCUUUAUGAUAAACUAUAUAAAGUUCAUCCUGCCCAGUGAUUAAUUUUAAACGGCCGCAGUACCCUGACUGUGCAAAGGUAGCAUAAUAAUUUGCCUCUUAAUUAGAGGCUUGUAUGAAUGGACACAUGUGAAUAAUUCUGUCUCUAUCAUGAUAAUAGAAUUUGGUCUUAAGGUGAAGAAACCUUAAUAUUUUUAAAGGACAAAAAGACCCUAUUGAGCUUCAUUUUUAAAGGAAAAAAAAGGAAAAUUUUACUUAUUUUUAUCCCUAUAAAUUUUGUUGGGGCGACAAAGGAACAUAUAAAACUUCCUCAAAAUUUAAGAUAUACUAUUCAUUAUAAAGAUCCUUACUCAAGAUCAAAGGAAACAGCUACCAUAGGGAUAACAGGCUAAUCAUUUCAGAGAGUUCAAAUUGACGAGAUGGGUUGGCACCUCGAUGUUGGCUUAGGAUACCCAUUAAAUGCAGAAGUUUAAAAAGGUUGGUUUGUUCAACCAUUAAAAUCCU